AUACUAAGCUAAAUGCAUAUCAAAUGUAGCCUUUGAAUCUCUCCCAGGCCUCACAAAUGGAUUCAGACUGCUUUUGGGUGAAACUGGAGAUUUCAUUCCUUAGACG